rnacentral:rRNA from 1 species
CCUACGGGAGGCAGCAGUGGGGAAUAUUGCACAAUGGGCGCAAGCCUGAUGCAGCCAUGCCGCGUGUGUGAAGAAGGCCUUCGGGUUGUAAAGCACUUUCAGUAGGGAGGAAGGCGUGGUCGCUAAUAUCGGCUACGUUUGACGUUACCUACAGAAGAAGCACCGGCUAACUCCGUGCCAGCAGCCGCGGUAAU